CUACGGGGGGCUCCAGUUAAGAAUCUUCCGCAAUGGACGAAAGUCUGACGGAGCGACGCCGCGUGGGUGAAGAAGGCCGAGAGGUUGUAAAGCCCUUUUCUGCUUGAGGAAUAAGCCUGGUAGGGAAUGACCGGGUGAUGACGGUAGGGCAGGAAUAAGCCCCGGCUAAUUACGUGCCAGCAGCCGCGGUAACACGUAUGGGGCGAGCGUUGUUCGGAAUCAUUGGGCGUAAAGGGCGUGUAGGCGGAAAUGCAAGUCUGGUGUGAAAGACCGCAGCUCAACUGCGGGGACGCGCUGGAAACUGCAUAUCUUGAGUUCCGGAGGGGGAGUUGGAAUUCCUGGUGUAGGGGUGAAAUCUGUUGAUAUCAGGAAGAACAUCGGUGGCGAAGGCGAACUCCUGGACGAGAACUGACGCUGAGGCGCGAAAGCGUGGGGAGCGAACAGGAUUAGAUACCCUCGUAGUC
rnacentral:rRNA from 1 species